UACGGGGGGGCAAGCGUUUGUUCGGAAUUACUGGGCGUAAAGGGCUCGUAGGCGGCCAACUAAGUCGGAUGUGGAAAUCCCCAGGCUUAACCUGGGAACUGCAUCCGAUACUGGAUGGCUUGAAUCCGGGAGAGGGAUGCAGAAUUCCAGGUGUAGCGGUGAAAUGCGUAGAUAUCUGGGAGGAAUACCGGUGGCGAAGGCGGCAUCCUGGACCGGCAUUGACGCUGAUGAGCGAAAGCUAGGGGAGCAAACGGGG
rnacentral:rRNA from 1 species